rnacentral:lncRNA from 1 species
GUGCCACCACCGCGACGCCAGGGGACGCGGGGACCCCCGUCGGCACGGCCCGCGCCAGCCCCACGGUGGGACACGUCACCGCGUCCCAAGGUGACACGGACACGGUGGCCAACGAUGGAGGCGUCUUCGUGGAGGGGACACGGGGACCCGGUGCCACCACCAUGGUUGGGGACACGGGGUCCCACGUCGCCACGGUCUACGGAGGGGACAUGACCGCGGCGGGAUGUGUCACCGCGUCCCGGGGAGGGGACGGGGACGCGGACAUGGUGGCCCGCGACAGCGUUGGCACCACGGAGGGACCCGGCGUCACCACAGUCCUCGCCGCCACCACGGUGUCCCCCGUCGCCGCGUCCCAGGGAGGUGACACGGACGCGGUGGCCAGCGAUGGAGGCGUCUUCACGGAGGGACCCGGUGCCACCACCAUGGUUGGGGACACGGGGACCCCCGUCACCAUGGUCUACGGAGGGGACAUGAACGUGGUGGCCAACGAUGGAGGCGUCUUCACGGAGGGGACGUGGGGACCCGGUGCCACCAUGGUGACCAGGGACAUGGGGACCAUCACCACAGUCCACGCCAGGCCCAUGGUGGGACGUGUCACCGCGUCCCGGGGAUGUGACAUGAACGUGGUGGCCAAUGAUGGAGGCGCCUUCAUGGAGGGGACGGAGGGACCCACCACGGUGCCAGGGGACAGGGGGACCCCCGUCACCACGGUCUACGCCAUGGACAGGGUGGCACGUGUCACCGCGUCCCGGGGAGGGGACACGAACGUGGUGGCCAACGAUGGAGGAACCUUCAUGGAGGGGACGCAGGGACCCGGUGCCACCACCAUGGUUGGGGACAUGGGGACCCCCGUCACCACGGUCUACGAAGGGGACACGGACACGGUGGCCAACGGUGGAGGCGCCUUCAUGGAGGGGACGGAGGGACCCACCACGGUGCCAGGGGACACGGGGACCCCCGUCACCAUGGUCUAUGGAGGGGACAUGGACGUGGUGACCAACGGUGGAGGUGUCCUCAUGGAGGGGACGCGGGGACUUGGUGCCACCACGGCGCCAGGGGACACGAGGAUCCCUGUCACCACAGUCCACACCAUGGACAUGGUGGGACGUGUCACUGCGUCCCGGGGCGGUGACAUGGACGUGGUGGCCAACGAUGAAGGCAUCUUCGCAGAGGGGACAGAGGGACCCGGUGCCACCACCAUGGCUGGGGACACGGGGACCCCCGUCACCACGGUCUAUAGAGGGGACAUGAACGCGGUGGCCAAUGAUGGAGGCGCCUUCAUGGAGGGGACGCGGGGACC